GGGGAAGUGAGGGAGAGGAGGAGAGGAAAACAAAAGGAGAAACACAAGGAAAAAGGAGAGAGAAGAAGUUUGCUGCUAAAAAACAAGUUUUACAAAGAUGUAUUAAGACUUAAAAGCAAUACCCAGAGUUUGUUGAAAAGUGCUUUUAUGCUUGAAGAGGCUCCGCGAUCAGGGAACCUGUGAGGAGACACGUGUGUGUGUGUGUGUGUGUGUGUGUGUUGGAGGAUACACACGCAACCGAGACAAGAUGGCGAGCGAGAAGAUCGGAAGACUCCGGUCGUAAGGGCUGAAUCGACCAUCCCUUUCCCUUUCAGUGGAGAGUCUUCACUGUGGAUCCCAGUAAAGCUCUGGACUCACUGGCUGAGGUAGGUCAGGACCAGAGACUGAGAGCAGAGUCUCCAGGGUCCAGCUGUCUGUCUCUGAAGAGUGACUGGUCCAAAGAACUUAAUCCUCCACACUUCGGUAAAGAACCUGGACCCUCACACACAGAACUGAAGAUGAGUGUUUAUGAGGAGGAAGAGGACGGAGCAGAGUCUCCAGGGUUCAGCUGUGUGUCUCUGAAGAGUGACCAGUCCAGAUAUGAGCCUCUAAACUUCAGUAAUGAACCUGGACCCUCACA